GACGAACGCUGGCGGCGUGCUUAACACAUGCAAGUCGAACGGAAAGGCCCUGCUUUUGUGGGGUGCUCGAGUGGCGCACGGGUGAGUAACACGUGAGUAACCUGCCCUUGACUUUGGGAUAACUUCAGGAAACUGGGGCUAAUACCGGAUAGGAGCUCCUGCUGCAUGGUGGGGGUUGGAAAGUUUCGGCGGUUGGGGAUGGACUCGCGGCUUAUCAGCUUGUUGGUGGGGUAGUGGCUUACCAAGGCUUUGACGGGUAGCCGGCCUGAGAGGGUGACCGGCCACAAGGGGACUGAGAUACGGCGCAGACUCCUACGGGAGGCAGCAGUGGAGAAUAUUGCACAAUGGGCGGAAGCCUGAUGCAGCAACGCCGCGUGCGGGAUGACGGCCUUCGGGUUGUAAACCGCUUUCGCCUGUGACGAAGCGUGAGUGACGGUAAUGGGUAAAGAAGCACCGGCUAACUACGUG
rnacentral:rRNA from 1 species